GCGGGCAUAGUUUAGCGGUAAAACCCAUGCCUUCCAAGCAUGUGUCGUCGGUUCGAUUCCGUCUGCCCGCACCA
rnacentral:tRNA from 1 species